rnacentral:rRNA from 1 species
AGUGAACGCUGGCGGUAGGCCUAACACAUGCAAGUCGAACGGCAGCACAGUAAGAGCUUGCUCUUACGGGUGGCGAGUGGCGGACGGGUGAGGAAUACAUCGGAAUCUACUUUUUCGUGGGGGAUAACGUAGGGAAACUUACGCUAAUACCGCAUACGACCUACGGGUGAAAGCAGGGGAUCUUCGGACCUUGCGCGAUUGAAUGAGCCGAUGUCGGAUUAGCUAGUUGGCGGGGUAAAUGCCCACCAAGGCGACGAUCCGUAGCUGGUCUGAGAGGAUGAUCAGCCACACUGGAACUGAGACACGGUCCAGACUCCUAAGGGAGGCAGCAGUGGGGAAUAUUGGACAAUGGGCGCAAGCCUGAUCCAGCCAUACCGCGUGGGUGAAGAAGGCCUUCGGGUUGUAAAGCCCUUUUGUUGGGGAAGAAAAGCAGCAGGUUAAUACCCCGCUGUUCUGACGGUACCCAAAGAAUAAGCACCGGCUAACUUCGUG